ACAAGUCCCUUUGCAGAUAACUUGAAUUGAUCAAAAUAUUUGUAGCGCAAUCGCUCGUGACCCGGUAUGUCAACGAUUUUCAAGGAAUGCUGAAUACAUGAACAAAUGUGUUUAAGUAUGUAAUGAUGUGUGUGUUUUAAUAAAUUUGGAACACAGCAGACGUGCAUAUAUCAGUGUUUUACCAGCAUCACUGAGGCCAGUUAAGAGUAUAUUGUUUCCUAUAGACCUUCUCCUUCGCCAUAUGGCAAACAAAACUGAACAAAGAAAUAAAAUAGCAGAUUAUAAACAAUAUAGUAAUGCCUACAUCUGAACCAUUAGUACCAAGAAAAUGAUUCCACAGACUUAAAUGUAUGAAUAUUAAAUUUACAAUCUAAAGAAAUUUUCAUACAAUAAUGAAUCUAUUUUUGUAUUACAUAUAUAAUCACAGAAGUAUGUUUAUCACAUUUUUGGUAACAUCUGUUGUGUUUUUUAGGACUGUUUGUACUGUAGCAGAUAUUAUCACAUUCAUUAAUCUUAAAUAAAGACAAAACAUGAUGUAUGUGAGAGUUUACAAAUGAUGAGUAUAUAUGAGAUGGAGUAUGAAUGAGACGAUGUCUAUAUCUUUCAUGCUGUGUGUGAUAUACAAAUGCGUAGUAGCUAAACAUAUUUUUAGUUCUGCUAAGUGUAUUAUUGUGAAGUGUAAUGAAGUGUUUAAUACAUGAAAUCACUGGACUUGGACAUGGGUACAACAACCAUAAUUUUGGGAAAAUUGAGGAGGAGCCUGGAGAGAUCCUGAGGAGAAUCUGAGGAGAUCCUGAGGACAGCCUCACAUUGGACCCCUUCUUUGCACGCGAAAGGAAAGUUGACGAACCUCAAAGACCAGUGCUUCUCAUGAAAUCCUCCAGCCAAAGAAUCACAGCCCACUUGCUCUUCGUUUCAAGGUUGCUGGAACGAGGAGACACGUCGGUUCAAGGAGGAGAUUAAAAGCAACGCUUCCACCGUCAUUUUUCAAACUGGUCGGGUAAGGUCAGAACGAAAAAAUUGCCGGACACCAUUUUUCAGGAGCGGACAAACGUUUUGAACCGGCAAGUCACGGUAUGAUCGUGUUUACGGUGGGCAAGGAGAAAGUGCAUUAAGAUGGAAAAUAAUAGCAACAGCCUACGAGAAUAUUACUCAGGAUUAACUGGAUCGUUUUAGACAUCCCCCUGGUCUACUUUCACCUGCAGGCUUGGUCUGUGUAAUUAUCCAAGGAUUCCGUACAAUGAGCACUGCAGAGGAGGAGAAAGGCGGUUGAAGCAGGAGCAGAGAGCGGUGUCGGUAGCCGCAAGAAAGGGAAGAGACUGUAUAUACACGGUUUCAGGAGCAAAAGAAAAGGAGACUGGGCACAGCUGCGGUCUCUGACACGUUGCUCGUGCCACGAACGAAGCGCAAUCGUAUGCACACACGCCCUGGCGUGAUUGUUCCGAGAACGGGAGCCUGAAGAAUGGAAAGAAACGAGCAUCGAGGAUGGAGGAACUCGAACGAACCCGGAGACGCGUGAUGGACGUGUCUGCAUCGCCGCGACAAACGGCCGAACCAACCUUAUGCCCCACGUCAGUUCGAGAGUUCUCGAUGCUCAUUCACCGACCGAACAUCAUACGUCUUUCGGUCGUACUGUUAGACUAGGACAACCCUGUUCCUCGUGUACGACGCUUAAUGGAGACCGGGGCGUAAUCGAUCAUCCGACCACCGAUCAAGGUGCAGCCACGUAGCCGUGGUGGUUGCGACGAGGUUGGACGAUUGAGAUACUCGGGGAAGCGGUGUUAAUGGGGAUUAAAUUGGAGUACGUCUGAUUGGGAGGAGGGACAUUGCGAGUGUUGCCAGUACAUUUCACCGGCAAUCUCUUGGAAAGUCCCGAUUACAGACACCCACCACCAUAAAAAGCAUCCUUCGAACACAUUGUCCGCGGUCCGUCACGCUCGUUUCGUCACGGUCCACGGGAAGCUUGCCGAUCGAUUUCCCGAAAAUUACAACAUUUGUCUCCCCUAUAAAGCAGAGGCGGUGAAGAAAACAGGUACUGUACCGCCAGAGAUUUACGUAACGACUCGUACAUGCGUGUCAGCUCUCCCGUUGCAGAUCCGGACGCGUUGCUCGUGCUUUCGGGCACCUGCUAGUUGGGCCGUGACCUCUUCAACGUAGCCCCCGGCAAGGGGACACGAGGAAAAGUAGAGCCACGAAUGUGAAACAAGAAGAGGUCCAAGAAAACGAGCGCCUGUCGCUGAUUGACGAGGAACCGAGUCACCGAGAUACAGCCCGGAGAGCAAUAAAGCACGUGCGAGAGAACGAUCUCCGGAGCUGAACACCUGCCUGUCCUCUUCGUGGCCUCCGGUUCGAACACUCGACGAGAGGGUGUACGUUGGUACCCCGUAUAACAACCAUGAAUUUCAACGAACGACUGAAAAUUGCGGAGCCGAAGAGAAAGAUAGCCAGUCGCUAAUUGCGAAAUGAGACGACGAAGUGAUUGCGAGACUGAAUCGAAGGUUUCUUUCGGUCUGCUUGAAAAAAUACAACCAUGGAGAUAAUUAUAAGGCAACUGGUUGGAACUUGCAGAGAAUAUGUUGAGGAUGAAACUCUGAAAUUACUUCGCAGGAUGAGCUUGAUGGAAAAGUUGAAACACCAAAGGCGUGUCGCGAAUUUUUGAAGGAGCUAGUGGAACUUUGUAAAAAGUAACGAAGCGAGAAAUAAAGUUUAAUCAUUUUCAGUUGAAA